ACAACAGUUGGAAACGACUGCUAAUACCGCAUAAGCCCACGGUACCGCAUGGUACUGAGGGAAAAGGAUUUAUUCGCUUUAGGAUGGACUCGCGUCCAAUUAGCUAGUUGGUGAGGUAACGGCCCACCAAGGCGACGACUGGUAGCCGGACUGAGAGGUUGAACGGCCACAUUGGGACUGAGACACGGCCCAGACUCCUACGGGAGGCAGCAGUGGGGGAUAUUGCACAAUGGGGGGAACCCUGAUGCAGCGACGCCGCGUGGAGGAAGAAGGUUUUCGGAUUGUAAACUCCUGUCGUCAGGGACGAUAAUGACGGUACCUAACAAGAAAGCACCGGCUAACUACGUGCCAGCAGCCGCGGUAAAACGUAGGGUGCAAGCGUUGUCCGGAAUUACUGGGUGUAAAGGGAGCGCAGGCGGGAAGACAAGUUGGAAGUGAAAACCAUGGGCUCAACCCAUGAAUUGCUUUCAAAACUGUUUUUCUUGAGUAGUGCAGAGGUAGAUGGAAUUCCCGGUGUAGCGGUGGAAUGCGUAGAUAUCGGGAGGAACACCAGUGGCGAAGGCGGUCUACUGGGCACCAACUGACGCUGAGGCUCGAAAGCAUGGGUAGCAAACAGGAUUAGAUACCCUGGUAGUCCAUGCCGUAAAC
rnacentral:rRNA from 1 species